GAUGAACGCUAGCGGGAGGCCUAACACAUGCAAGCCGAGCGGUAUUGUUUCUUCGGAAAUGAGAGAGCGGCGUACGGGUGCGUAACACGUGUGCAACCUGCCUUUAUCUGGGGGAUAGCCUUUCGAAAGGAAGAUUAAUACUCCAUAAUAUAUUGAACGGCAUCGUUUAAUAUUGAAAGCUCCGGCAGAUAGAGAUGGGCACGCGCAAGAUUAGCUAGUUGGUGAGGUAACGGCUCACCAAGGCGAUGAUCUUUAGGGGGCCUGGGAGGGUGAUCCCCCACAGUGGUACUGAGACACGGACCAGACUCCUACGGGAGGCAGCAGUGAGGAAUAUUGGUCAAUGGGUGCAAGCCUGAACCAGCCAUCCCGCGUGAAGGACGACUGCCCUAUGGGUUGUAAACUUCUUUUGUAUAGGGAUAAACCUACCCUCGUGAGGGUAGCUGAAGGUACUAUACGAAUAAGCACCGGCUAACUCCGUGCCAGCAGCCGCCGUAA
rnacentral:rRNA from 1 species